UUUCAUCUUCCUCACAGAGGUUUGAGUUUCCUUCUUUACCCAUCUCAAAUUUAGGGUUUCUUCAUCUUAUGAGGAUUAUCCGAUGUUUGUAGCUUCAUUAGGGUUUGCUAUUGGAAUUGGUUAUCGAUCUAUAUUUGCUUAAUUGCUGCCUUUAAAAUACUUUAAAAUGGAUGUCUCCGUUCAUUUGUUAGUUUUAUAGGGUAUUUUGGCGUGAUAAAAUUUGGGAAUUUGAUUUUUAAUGUCCCCCUUAUGUAGGGCGUUCAAGGACUUAUACCUUACAUCUAUACCUGAAAGUGCCAUCAUAUAUCAUUGCUGCAUAAUUUAGUAUUAGAAACGAGCAAAGUGCAAAAAAGGGUCAACUUUUCAAAAUUUUAUAAACAACAAAUGGAAUAUCCGUCCCUUUUGUUUCAGAGUAUCAAGAAUAGAUUAAAGAACUCAUCAUUUUUACUAUAUAGGACUCAUUAGCACUUGAAGUGCCACAAUAUAGUCACUGUUUGUUAUUGGGAAUGAAAGAAUGAGAGAUUUUAUAUUCAGUAUGACUUAAACGAUGGCCAAGAUGCUGUGGAUCUUUUAAAUUUUGGUAUUUAUGGAUAGUUGGAUACUGUUCAGUGCUCAUCCGAAUUAAGUUUCUUGUUUGGUUAUUCUCUAAUUGUUGUUUUUAGCUUUAGGUGUCUAAUCAUAAAGCUAAGGAGGUUGGAGUGAAAAUGAAAGCAAAGAAACAUAUUAUACUGCAAAAUUAGGACAACUGGGACCUUUUAACUUUUGUUCUUGGGGUUUUAAGUUCAUAUGAGAAAAUUAUAGGGCAUUGCUUUGUGGCAUAAGUUUGGAAUUAAGUUGGAUUUUUAAGUGGUUUGCUGGUUUCUUCUUGAA
rnacentral:misc_RNA from 1 species